UACGGAGGGAGCUAGCGUUGUUCGGAAUUACUGGGCGUAAAGGGUGCGUAGGCGGUUCGCUAAGUCGGUUGUGAAAUCCCUGGGCUUAACCUGGGAACUGCAGUCGAUACUGGCGGACUAGAGUACGGUAGAGGGUGGCGGAACUCCGGGUGUAGUGGUGAAAUGCGUAGAUAUCCGGAAGAACACCGAUGGCGAAGGCAACCACCUGGGCCUGUACUGACGCUGAGGUACGAAAGCGUGGGGAGCAAACAGGG
rnacentral:rRNA from 1 species